CCUGUGGCCCGGCCAGGGGAAGGGACGCUGACAGAUAGGGCAGGAGCUGACAACCCCCAAGCUUUCUCCUACUUGGACUGUGAGAGUAUAAAAAUCCAGGGAUUGCUUUGUUCAGGGUCCUUCCUCAGAGGCACUAGCUUGAGCUGUUGUUUUGAUAUUUAGUUAUUGUACCACGAUUUAAUUAUUUUAAGGAGCUGGAUAUCUGAGACUCUGCUACGGGAGAGAAUCCUGGAAACUAAGCCAAACUGUCUUUCGGUGAACUCAGUAUAGAUUGAGCAGGUCAAGUCAGAAGCGACCAGAGUUUUAAAAUGGAAUUUUGGAUGUUCAUGAUAAAUUCAGAACAGAAGUCACAC